rnacentral:piRNA from 1 species
UACAGUUCCGCUUGUAACUCAGGC